AACGAACGCUGGCGGCAUGCCUAACACAUGCAAGUCGAACGAGACCUUCGGGUCUAGUGUCGCACGGGUGCGUAACGCGUGGGAACCUGCCCUUAGGUUCGGCAUAACUCCCCGAAAGGGGAGCUAAUACCGGAUAAUGUCUUCGGACCAAAGAUUUAUCGCCUUUGGAUGGGCCCGCGUUGGAUUAGCUAGUUGGUAGGGUAAAAGCCUACCAAGGCGACGAUCCAUAGCUGGUCUGAGAGGAUGAUCAGCCACACUGGGACUGAGACACGGCCCAGACUCCUAGGGGAGGCAGCAGUGGGGAAUAUUGGACAAUGGGCGACAGCAUGAUCCAGCAAUGCCGCGUGAGUGAUGAAGGCCUUAGGGUUGUAAAGCUCUUUUACCCGGGAUGAUAAUGACAGUACCGGGAGAAUAAGCACCGGCUAACUCCGUG
rnacentral:rRNA from 1 species